rnacentral:rRNA from 1 species
CACAUCCAAGGAAGGCAGCAGGCACGCAAAUUACCCAAUCCCAGCUCGGGGAGGUAGUGACAAUAAAUAACAAUGCGGGACUCUUCCGAGUCUCGUAAUUGGAAUGAGCACAAUUUAAAUCCUUAAGCAACAACCAAUUGGAGGGCAAGUCUGGUGCCAGCAGCCGCGGUAAUUCCAGCUCCAAUAGCGUAUAUUAAAGUUGUUGUGGUUAAAAAGCUCGUAGUUGAAUUGGUUGCGGCCUGGUGUGGGUCACCGCGGUGCUUGCCCGGCCGGGCCCGAACAGCUUCCCUGGUGAACCCCAGCCGGUUCUGCCGGGGUGCUCUUUACCGGGUGUCGCGGGGCCGGCCGUUCACCUUGAAAAAAUUAGAGUGCUCAAGGCAGGCUAUCUGGAAUACAUUGGCAUGGAAUAAUAGAAGAGGAUCUCGGUUCCAUUUUGUUGGUUGGAGCCGGUAAUGAUUAAUAGGGACAGUCGGGGGCAUCCGUAUUCGACGCGAGGUGAAAUUCGUGACCGUCGUAAGACUAACUACUGCGAAAGCAUUUGCCAAGAAUGUUUUCGUUGAUCAAGAACGAAAGUUAGGGGAUCGAAGACGAUCAGAUACCGCCCUAGUCUAACCUAAACGAUGCCGACUAGGAAUCGCCGUCGUUAUUUGACCUGGACGCCCCCGGGAAAUCAAGUCUUGGGUCCGGGGGAGUAUGGUUGCAAGGCUGAAACUUAAAGAAAUUGACGGAAGGGCACCACCAGGGGUGGAGCCUGCGGCUUAAUUUGACUCAACACGGGGAAACUCACCAGGCCCAGACACAAGAGGAUUGACAGAUUGAGAGCUCUUUCUCGAUUUUGUGGGUGGUGGUGCAUGGCCGUUCUUAGUUGGUGGAGUGAUUUGUCUGCUUAAUUC